CCUACGGGUGGCAGCAGUGGGGAAUAUUGCACAAUGGGGGGAACCUUGAUGCAGCAACGCCGCGUGGGUGAAGAAGUACUCCGGUAUGUAAAGCCCUGUCAGCAGGGAAGAAAAGGACGGUACCUGACCAAUAAGCCCCGGCUAACUACGUGCCAGCAGCCGCGGUAAUACGUAGGGGGCAAGCGUUAUCCGGAUUUACUGGGUGUAAAGGGAGCGUAGACGGCAAGGCAAGUCUGGAGUGAAAGCCCGUGGCUCAACCAUGGGACUGCUUUUGAAACUGUCAAACUAGAGUACGGGAGAGGUAAGAGGAAUUCCUAGUGUAGCGGUGAAAUGCGUAGAUAUUAGGAGGAACACCAAUGGCGAAGGCGUCUUACUGGACCGAAACUGACAUUGAUGCUCGAAAGUGUGGGUAUCAAACAGGAUUAGAUACCCGAGUAGUC
rnacentral:rRNA from 1 species